rnacentral:rRNA from 1 species
UACGAAGGGGGCUAGCGUUGCUCGGAAUCACUGGGCGUAAAGCGCACGUAGGCGGAUUGCUAAGUCAGGGGGUGAAAUCCUGGAGCUCAACUCCAGAACUGCCUUUGAUACUGGCGAUCUCGAGUUCGGGAGAGGUGAGUGGAACUGCGAGUGUAGAGGUGAAAUUCGUAGAUAUUCGCAAGAACACCAGUGGCGAAGGCGGCUACCUGGACAGAAACUGACGCUGAGGCGCGAAAAGCUAGGGGAGCAAACAGG